rnacentral:rRNA from 1 species
GAUUGCAGGCUGCAACCCGCCUGCAUGAAGCCGGAAUUGCUAGUAAUCGCGGAUCAGCAUGCCGCGGUGAAUACGUUCCCGGGCCUUGUACACACCGCCUGUCACACCAUGGGAGCCGGUAAUACCCGAAGUCAGUAGUCCAACCACGUGAGGACGCUGCCGAAGGUAGGAUUGGCGACUGGGGUGAAGUCGUAACAAGGUAAC